GGUUAAGCGACUAAGCGUACACGGUGGAUGCCCUGGCAGUCAGAGGCGAUGAAGGACGUGCUAAUCUGCGAUAAGCGUCGGUAAGGUGAUAUGAACCGUUAUAACCGGCGAUUUCCGAAUGGGGAAACCCAGUGUGAUUCGUCACACUAUCAUUAACUGAAUCCAUAGGUUAAUGAGGCGAACCGGGGAACUGAAACAUCUAAGUACCCCGAGGAAAAGAAAUCAACCGAGAUUCCCCCAGUAGCGGCGAGCGAACGGGGAGGAGCCCAGAGCCUGAAUCAGUGUGUGUGUUAGUGGAAGCGUCUGGAAAGGCGCGCGAUACAGGGUGACAGCCCCGUACACAAAAAUGCACAUACUGUGAGCUCGAUGAGUAGGGCGGGACACGUGGUAUCCUGUCUGAAUAUGGGGGACCAUCCUCCAAGGCUAAAUACUCCUGACUGACCGAUAGUGAACCAGUACCGUGAGGGAAAGGCGAAAAGAACCCCGGCGAGGGGAGUGAAAAAGAACCUGAAACCGUGUACGUACAAGCAGUGGGAGCCUCUUUAUGGGGUGACUGCGUACCUUUUGUAUAAUGGGUCAGCGACUUAUAUUCUGUAGCAAGGUUAACCGAAUAGGGGAGCCGAAGGGAAACCGAGUCUUAACUGGGCGUUAAGUUGCAGGGUAUAGACCCGAAACCCGGUGAUCUAGCCAUGGGCAGGUUGAAGGUUGGGUAACACUAACUGGAGGACCGAACCGACUAAUGUUGAAAAAUUAGCGGAUGACUUGUGGCUGGGGGUGAAAGGCCAAUCAAACCGGGAGAUAGCUGGUUCUCCCCGAAAGCUAUUUAGGUAGCGCCUCGUGAAUUCAUCUCCGGGGUAGAGCACUGUUUCGGCAAGGGGUCAUCCCGACUUACCAACCCGAUGCAAACUGCGAAUACCGGAGAAUGUUAUCACGGGAGACACACGGCGGGUGCUAACGUCCGUCGUGAAGAGGGAAACAACCCAGACCGCCAGCUAAGGUCCCAAAGUCAUGGUUAAGUGGGAAACGAUGUGGGAAGGCCCAGACAGCCAGGAUGUUGGCUUAGAAGCAGCCAUCAUUUAAAGAAAGCGUAAUAGCUCACUGGUCGAGUCGGCCUGCGCGGAAGAUGUAACGGGGCUAAACCAUGCACCGAAGCUGCGGCAGCGACACUAUGUGUUGUUGGGUAGGGGAGCGUUCUGUAAGCCUGCGAAGGUGUACUGUGAGGUAUGCUGGAGGUAUCAGAAGUGCGAAUGCUGACAUAAGUAACGAUAAAGCGGGUGAAAAGCCCGCUCGCCGGAAGACCAAGGGUUCCUGUCCAACGUUAAUCGGGGCAGGGUGAGUCGACCCCUAAGGCGAGGCCGAAAGGCGUAGUCGAUGGGAAACAGGUUAAUAUUCCUGUACUUGGUGUUACUGCGAAGGGGGACGGAGAAGGCUAUGUUGGUAGGGCGACGGUUGUCCCGGUUUAAGCGUGUAGGCUGGUUUUCCAGGCAAAUCCGGAAAAUCAAGGCUGAGGCGUGAUGACGAGGCGCUACGGUGCUGAAGCAACAAAUGCCCUGCUUCCAGGAAAAGCCUCUAAGCAUCAGGUAACAUCAAAUCGUACCCCAAACCGACACAGGUGGUCAGGUAGAGAAUACCAAGGCGCUUGAGAGAACUCGGGUGAAGGAACUAGGCAAAAUGAUGCUGUAACUUCGGGAGAAGGCACGCUGAUACGUAGGUGAAGUCCCUUGCGGAUGGAGCUGAAAUCAGUCGAAGAUACCAGCUGGCUGCAACUGUUUAUUAAAAACACAGCACUGUGCAAACACGAAAGUGGACGUAUACGGUGUGACGCCUGCCCGGUGCCGGAAGGUUAAUUGAUGGGGUUAGCGGUAACGCGAAGCUCUUGAUCGAAGCCCCGGUAAACGGCGGUACGUAACUAUAACGGUCCUAAGGUAGCGAAAUUCCUUGUCGGGUAAGUUCCGACCUGCACGAAUGGCGUAAUGAUGGCCAGGCUGUCUCCACCCGAGACUCAGUGAAAUUGAACUCGCUGUGAAGAUGCAGUGUACCCGCGGCAAGACGGAAAGACCCCGUGAACCUUUACUAUAGCUUGACACUGAACAUUGAGCCUUGAUGUGUAGGAUAGGUGGGAGGCUUUGAAGUGUGGACGCCAGUCUGCAUGGAGCCGACCUUGAAAUACCACCCUUUAAUGUUUGAUGUUCUAACGUUGGCCCCUGAUCGGGGUUGCGGACAGUGUCUGGUGGGUAGUUUGACUGGGGCGGUCUCCUCCUAAAGAGUAACGGAGGAGCACGAAGGUUGGCUAAUCCUGGUCGGACAUCAGGAGGUUAGUGCAAUGGCAUAAGCCAGCUUGACUGCGAGCGUGACGGCGCGAGCAGGUGCGAAAGCAGGUCAUAGUGAUCCGGUGGUUCUGAAUGGAAGGGCCAUCGCUCAACGGAUAAAAGGUACUCCGGGGAUAACAGGCUGAUACCGCCCAAGAGUUCAUAUCGACGGCGGUGUUUGGCACCUCGAUGUCGGCUCAUCACAUCCUGGGGCUGAAGUAGGUCCCAAGGGUAUGGCUGUUCGCCAUUUAAAGUGGUACGCGAGCUGGGUUUAGAACGUCGUGAGACAGUUCGGUCCCUAUCUGCCGUGGGCGCUGGAGAACUGAGGGGGCUGCUCCUAGUACGAGAGGACCGGAGUGGACGCAUCACUGGUGUUCGGGUUGUCAUGCCAAUGGCACUGCCCGGUAGCUAAAUGCGGAAGAGAUAAGUGCUGAAAGCAUCUAAGCACGAAACUUGCCCCGAGAUGAGUUCUCCCUGACCCUUUAAGGGUCCUGAAGGAACGUUGAAGACGACGACGUUGAUAGGCCGGGUGUGUAAGCGCAGCGAUGCGUUGAGCUAACCGGUACUAAUGAACCGUGAGGCUUAACCUU
rnacentral:rRNA from 1 species